GACAGAGGAUGCAAGCGUUAUCCGGAAUUAUUGGGCGUAAAGAGCUCGUAGGCGGCUUGUCGCGUCGGAUGUGAAAGCCCGGGGCUUAACUCCGGGUCUGCAUUCGAUACGGGCAGGCUAGAGUUCGGUAGGGGAGAUCGGAAUUCCUGGUGUAGCGGUGAAAUGCGUAGAUAUCAGGAGGAACACCGGUGGCGAAGGCGGGUCUCUGGGCCGAUACUGACGCUGAGGAGCGAAAGCGUGGGGGAGCGAACAGG
rnacentral:rRNA from 1 species